AUUGGCAAGUUCCCCUGCAGUUUGGGCUGUCUCUGUGGCUGGUUCUGCGGCGUGCGGCCAGCCAUGGAGCGCUCUGGGCCCAGCGAAGUGACAGGCUCAGACGCAUCGGGACCGGACCCGCAGCUUGCGGUCACCAUGGGCUUCACGGGGUUCGGUAAAAAAGCUCGCACAUUUGACUUGGAAGCAAUGUUUGAACAAACUCGAAGAACAGCUGUGGAAAGAAGUUGCAAAACACUGGGGGCUCCCAGGCCUCUAGCCGCAGACUGAAGGCUGCACUGUGAGCCUCCCUACCUUUGAAGUUUGGGACUCAGACUGGCUUCUUGGCUCCUCAGCUUGCAGUCGGCCUAUUGUGAGACUUCCCCUUGUGAUCAUGCCAGAUUACAGAGGGGUAUUGAUUUGCCUUGCCCCCGCCCCCACCAUCACAGUGUGUCCCUGUCCAGUGUUGGUGCUGUGUGGCAUUGGCUUGUGUCCAUAGGAGUCCAUCAAGGCAGAGCGGCAGAGUGGGAAGGCAGGUCAGCUUCCAGCUCUUCCAGGCUGCAUGUCCCACUCAAUAUCCUUUCAACCCAAUGGAAAUGGAUUGAAAGAGUGAAAGUCACUGGUCUCAAAGAAUCUACGGAAUUUAGCAUUUUGAAAAUCACAUAGCAAUUUUGGGUAGGUAUUCACCUGCACUAAAAAACCAGGCAAACAUCCGACUCCCAGGAUAAAGUGACUGAGAGCAGUAGAAGACUUGUUGAGCCUUAAGGAAUAAGAGGAAAAUUACGUUAUGAAGUGCAGGAACAGCACAGACCCAGACGAGGGGACGCAGCCCGGAGCCAGUAACCCGGCGCCACCUCCUCCCCAGGGCGCAGCGCUGGCUGAUCCCCAGAUACCGUGAUCACACGUCCCGGGUCCUGAGAGCGCCUCAUAGGUAGACAGUUCUUUGGGACUUCUGGGAUGCAGCACUUGAAGAGAGGUUUACCUAAACUUUCCUCCUGGGAGCCUGUGAUCAUUUGAAAGUAACAGAAGAAAGUUGUCAGGCUGAGGAAAGUUUCAACAGGCACUUGGUGAGAAUGGGAAGCAUCCAUUCAUUGUGAAAUCGCGGGGACAGAGGAGGAAUUCACGGGAUCAGAGCACUGAGAAACUCCAGAGGCUUCUGGUUCACCGCCCUGAUUCCACAGAUGUGGGUCAGAGGCAGAGAUGGAAGUUGGAAUGGACAAGCCUGCCCUCUCCUUGGCUCUCCAUGGCUCUGUCCUCAGGCUGUUUCUGCAAUUUGACAUGAGGCCUGGCCCCAGGGAAACCAGUGGGGCCUCAUCUCCUCCCUGUGCUGCUCUGAGGUGGAGCCUUCUCAGGGUCAGUCCAGCUCUGGAGCCCCUCUCCAGCUCGGUCACCAAAGCUGUCUGGUCCCAGGGCGGUGCUGAGUGACAGGCAUGCCAGCCAAUCCAAUCGGCAAUUUCAUAUCCAAUGCAUGUGACUGAUAAAGAGAUAACGCCCUGUCUCCAAGACACAGGCUUUACAUAAACAGCUUUAAUGACUUCUUCACUUAGAGACAAGACUCCUUAGUGGUGGAACCUCAGGCAUCCGUGCAGGACGUAAGAAAGCUGCCGUAUAUACAUGAACUGAGAAGUGUGUAGAAGAAUAAAUACUGUAAUAGGUAAUAAAAUGUAUGUAUUUUUAUUUA
ensembl:lncRNA GUSBP1 GUSB pseudogene 1